GCUGGUUUAGUAUAGUGGUAUUAUGCUGCUCUUGUAAGGCAGAGACGGGGGUCCGAUUCCGCCCAUCCAGCACCA
rnacentral:tRNA from 1 species